UACGUAGGGUGCGAGCGUUGUCCGGAAUUAUUGGGCGUAAAGAGCUCGUAGGCGGUCUGUCGCGUCGGUCGUGAAAACUUGGGGCUUAACCCUGAGCUUGCGGUCGAUACGGGCAUGACUGGAGUUCGGUAGGGGAGACUGGAAUUCCUGGUGUAGCGGCGAAAUGCGCAGAUAUCGGGAAGAACACCCGUGGCGAAGGCGGUUCUCUGGGACGGUACUGACGCUGAGACGCGAAAGCGUGGGGAGCAAACAGG
rnacentral:rRNA from 1 species